AUUAGUUCAGGAAGAUACCUCUACCUAUUUUAAGUGAAAUUGCAUAUAUGUUUGAAACAGAGAUUAGUACAAGAUUAAGAGAAGAAAUAGAUAAAAUGGAUUGGUUCAGGGUUAAUUCAGACCAUGGAAAUCCAAAGGAAAAUAUUGCAAUCAUGGACACAGCCUGGCCUAAAAUGGCUACCAUGAUCACCUGAGAACAGAUUGAGGCAAGUCCAGAAGAC